rnacentral:rRNA from 1 species
GACGUAGGGUCCAAGCGUUGUCCGGAUUUACUGGGCGUAAAGAGCGCGUAGGCGGCUCGUUAAGUGUGAAGUGAAAUCUCCAGGGCUCAACCCGGAAACUGCUUUACAUACUGGCGAGCUGGAGUGAUGCAGAGGUUUGUGGAAUUCCUGGUGUAACGGUGAAAUGUGUUGAUAUCAGGAGGAACACCCAUGGCGAAGGCAGCAAACUGGGCAUCAACUGACGCUGAGGCGCGAAAAGCGUGGGUAGCAAACAGG